UACGGGGGGGGCAAGCGUUGUUCGGAAUUACUGGGCGUAAAGGGCUCGUAGGCGGCCAACUAAGUCCGACGUGAAAUCCCCAGGCUUAACCUGGGAACUGCGUCGGAUACUGGAUGGCUUGAAUCCGGGAGAGGGAUGCGGAAUUCCAGGUGUAGCGGUGAAAUGCGUAGAUAUCUGGAGGAACACCGGUGGCGAAGGCGGGUCUCUGGGCAGUAACUGACACUGAGGAGCGAAAGCGUGGGGAGCGAACAGG
rnacentral:rRNA from 1 species